rnacentral:tRNA from 1 species
GACUCGGUAGCUCAGCUGGUAGAGCAACGCCCUUUUAAGGCGUGGGUCCUGGGUUCGAGCCCCAGCCGGGUCA